rnacentral:lncRNA from 1 species
AUUUAUCUAUGAAUUCUCCAGGAUGCUGAGAGCUGCAGGGUGGUCUGUAAAAAGCAGAAAAUUUGCCAAGUUCAUUCCAGGGUUAAUGAUUGGAAGGGCUGGGAUAGCCUGGCAGCCAAGGCUAGGGGAAGAGAGUGUCCUGCCUCAAUCCUCGCAUCCUGUAUCCACCUGGCCUGGAAGCCUGCAGAGGAGGGUGGUUCUGCAUUGUUUGAAUUCCUGCAGAAGACUCUCCUUGCUGGGGCCACUUGUCUGGGAGCCACAGCUGACAUCAGAGGCUCUGCCACUUUCAGGAUUUUACAACAUGACUCCAGCAGUGCUACACAAAACCUGAGGACCCCAUGGCACCAACGAGGGAUUGACAGUUUUUCCCUCCUGUUAUGAUGGAGAAGGAUACUGAGACGUCUAGAGGUGGAGAGAGUGACUGCCCCUGAGGAAAUGCCUAACCAACUGCACUAGAGGCAACCAGACCAGAGGGACAAAGAAUGUGAGCUCAGAUUUCCUAUGGAUUUUCUGUAAAACUUUGAGCAUCUAUAAAUGAAGAUAAUGAUGGUGAUUUCUUCAAGGAACUACUCUGAGGAUUCAACAAGGUCACAUUUGUUAAGUCUUUUCUAUGACUGAUGAGCAAGGAGGAAGGCUGGGUUGACAAUGGAGAGUGGCAGGAGGAGGGAUCUGAAGAGAGCUAUGGAUUCAACUAUAUUGAACACCAGACUGUUUAGCAGGGAAGGUGGAAAGGAAGGGAGAGGGGAUAUAGGUGGGAGAAAUGCAGGGAGAAGGAGGCAGGAGAGGGGAGGGGAAAGAGGAAGAAGAGGGGACGGGGAGGGAAGAGGGAGCAAAUGCUAUCUAGAAACUUCUAAAUGGUCUCUGUGCUAGAAAAGCAAGACAAGCAGGGAAAAAUAUGAGACUGACCAAGCAUCUGCGGGAACACUGAUGGACCUGUUGCCUUGGUGACAUGACUGACUACUCAAUUGUUUGAUUUUCUUAGGCUUCCUCAGUGACUUUAAAGCC